AGCUUUGCGCAGUGGCGGUACCAUAGCCAAUGAGGAAUUUCCGAGGCGUGGUUAUUGCUAGUUGAAAACUAUACCCAAUACCCCGCACUGACGACUUAAUAGUCGGCAGUUGCAAUUUCUGGAAGCUUCUACGGAAG
rfam:Lottia gigantea unplaced genomic scaffold LOTGIsca_51, whole genome shotgun sequence.